UGGGGGAUAUUGCACAAUGGAGGAAACUCUGAUGCAGCGAUGCCGCGUGAGGGAAGAAGGUUUUCGGAUUGUAAACCUCUGUGGAGGGGGACGACAAUGACGGUACCCCUUUAGGAAGCCACGGCUAACUACGUGCCAGCAGCCGCGGUAAUACGUAGGUGGCGAGCGUUGUCCGGAAUUACUGGGUGUAAAGGGUGCGCAGGCGGGACUGCAAGUUGGAUGUGAAAUACCGAGGCUUAACCUCGGAGCUGCAUCCAAAAACUGUGGUUCUUGAGUGAAGUAGAGGUAGGCGGAAUUCCGAGUGUAGCGGUGAAAUGCGUAGAUAUUCGGAGGAACACCAGUGGCGAAGGCGGCCUACUGGGCUUUAACUGACGCUGAGGCACGAAAGUAUGGGGAGCAAACAGGAUUAGAUACCCUGGUAGU
rnacentral:rRNA from 1 species